rnacentral:lncRNA from 1 species
ACUUGAAGAUUUGGAUUCCAAGAGGCCUCUGUCUGUCCUGCCUCAGCCAGAGCCAGACAGCCAGCUCAAGGAGAUGGGCAAUUUACAGAGAAAGCAGCAUUGUGUUGAUGUUCCUUUCAGCUGGUCCUAUAGUACCCCUCCUCAGGAAUGUCUCCCCAGUGCAAGGACAAAGACUGAAGAGACUGCUAUAUUGAUGGACUCUCAAGCCAACUAUGAAGUUGAAACAAAGAAAGUGAUCACCUGAAGACACCUCCUCUGCUAAGAAACACCCCCAAAUUGUGCAGCUUCUGCCACUAGAACUCUCAGAACAAGAGACAAUCUUUUCAAGAAACAGAAAAACUCAAUAAUGACAUCUAGAUUUUCAUGAGCCAAGAACUUUCCCUUCCUCAUGUGUAUUCCUCUGUUUGUACUUAAAUUCAUGUGACAUUCAUUUUUUUCCUAGUAUGGAUAUGCUUAUUAAUGCACUUGUUUCAAAAUCCCAAAUUGCACAAAUGUGUUAAUAUUUUAAGAAACAAAAUGAAUCCUACAAGGAGAAUGAUUUUUAGCCACACAUAGGGUUGGAUCUUGAGAGUGACCUACAGAAUAA